AUUGAACGCUGGCGGCAGGCCUAACACAUGCAAGUCGAGCGGAGCGGCGGACGGGUGAGUAAUGCCUAGGAAUCUGCCUGGUAGUGGGGGAUAACGUCCGGAAACGGGCGCUAAUAUCGCAUACUACCAGAUGAGCCUAGGUCGGAUCAGCUAGUUUGUGGGGUAAAGGCCUACCAAUGCGACGAUCCGUAACUGGUCUGAGAGGAUGAACAGUCACACUGGAACUGAGCGACUGUCCAGACUCCUACGGGAGGCAGCAUUGGCGAAUAUUGGACAAUGGGCGAAAGCCUGAUCCAGCCAUGCCGCGUGUGUGCAGAAGGUCUUCGGAUUGUAAAGCACUUUCAGUUGGGAGGCGUUACCAACAGAAUAAGCACCGGCUAACUUCGUGCCAGCAGCCGCGGUAAUUC
rnacentral:rRNA from 1 species